ensembl:lncRNA
CUUGCGGGGGCGUCCUGGGCAGGGAGCUGGCUGGCGGUUGUGUGGGUCGGAAGAAGGUCUGGGCCGGAGAGAAUAAGGAAGGAGAGCCGGCGUCCUGCGCAGCGGUCUUCCUGGGCCUUUGAAUUGUCAUCUGGGCGCAGAAGAUUUGAGCCUGCAGUAGCUGCUUGUAUAGCCAAAUGUUCCUGACACGUUAGACGUUGUAGAAGAGGAAACGAGGAUGAGAAAGCAGCGCCUGCUGCACUGGACGGCCCGUUUUAGCUGGACUCAUGCUCUUCCUGUCCAGCGGAACCCCAGCCGCGCUGUGGGGGUGUCAUCAAAUCUCAUCAAAUCUCGGUGGUAGAAAGCCAUAGCAGGCUUGUGCAGUCGAGCCUCGCAGCUGGGACUCCACGUUGCUGGUUUAUCAGGCUGCCCCUUCACUUGUGACAAGUGCUCGUGGUGCUCCCUGGCCGGCAGGCAGCUCUGGGCACCAUGCUCACCCACUUGUAGUGCUUUUGCCUCUGUAUUCAUCAGCGGCUGUUUGUGUUUGUGCCCAAAACAUUUGUGCCAUUUUUACUUGCCGUUGUAAUUGUGUAGCUAGUUAGGCACGAUAGAGUGUGUGCUGAGUGCUGUUUGGUAGCUGCUCCGUGCAGGCUGUCCAGUUUGGCGAGAGACUCAGGAACUAUUGAAAAACAAUGAAAUCUAGAAUUUUGCCUUCCAAUGAAUGCUUGCUAAGAGUCUGCAGGUUCUUGUUCCACCGUGCACCCUGUCUGGUGGAGUUAGGGCCGGGGUGGUGUCUGGUGGGCAGAAGUCUGCUCAGAAGCAGCUCUGGUCCUGCGCCACACAGAGCUGGUCACCGACAGUGUGCUCCUUGCAGCCCUCUCUCCCCGGCGCCCCGGCUCCCAGCCUGUCUGACAGCGAGGAGAGUGUGUUCUCAGGCCUGGAAGAUUCUGGCAGUGACAGCAGUGAGGAGGAGGACGGGGCCAGCGGCGAGGAGCAGCACAGCAGGAUGGAGAAGGCCACGGGGCAGCAGGCCGGGACCCCUUCCCCGAGGACGCAGGUGGCAAGCGUGCCUGGCGAGGACGAGUACGCGGAAGACAGUUCCGACGAAGAGGUAGGCCUGGGGCGGGGGGCCUCGCUGUCGGGGGCGGGGUGGGGCUACUGCAUGUCCUGAGUGGGCGUCCUGGCCAGGGGCCCACGACCUCAGGAGUGUGUCAUUGUGGACAGGGGAGGCUGUGGGCCGUGCAGCCAGCCAUGUCCACGUCCUGGUCUUGGGCUGUGCGCCCUGGAUCGUGUGGGGUGGCCGGCAGGGGGUGGUGGGGGCUGUAUUUGUGCUCUGGGUGGGUACACAGGCCUGGGGAGCUCCCUACUGCCAGCCGGCCGGCCUGUGCUGGUCGGUGGGUGUGGGGGGGGAAGGGGAUGCCUGCACUGGCCACUGAGAGCAGCGGGUGGGUGGCCCCUGGCACCUUGCUCUUUGCCUCCCUGGCCUCCUGGAGGUGCAGCUGAUGUGGCCCUGGGCGAAGCUGGGGGCCCUUUCCUGAGGCAGAAAGCAUGAUGCAGGGUCCAGGGCGCUCAGGGCGCUGCCUGGGCCCUGGGGGACGCUCUGAUGCCUCCCUGGCCUCCUGGAGGUGCAGCUGAUGUGGCCCUGGGCGAAGCUGGGGGCCCUUUCCUGAGGCAGAAAGCAUGAUGCAGGGUCCAGGGCGCUCAGGGCGCUGCCUGGGCCCUGGGGGACGCUCUGAGCUGGAGAUGGCCGUGCAGCUCGCCCAGCCCCCUCCCACAUGUGUCCUUGCCACCAGGCAGGGCUGUGGGCCUGUGCCGACUGCCCCGGGGG